rnacentral:lncRNA from 1 species
UACAGCUUCCAUCAUCCCUGAACAUUGGCUAUGCUGGCUAGGGCUGAUGGGAGUUAUAGUCCAAAGCAACUGGAAGGUGCCAGGUUGGGGAAGGCUGAUCUAAGAAAUGCACUCCUACACCAUCCUUAAUAAGUCUCUUUCCUAUCAGAACACAUUGCAGAAGCUCCAGUCCUGACUCAAGCCUUCAAAGUGUUUUUGCUGGGGUUUAGAAACAGCACACCCUUUGAUGGGUUGUCUAUUCCCAACGGUUGCUUUAAACUUGAAGCAAUUGCAGGGAGAGAAAACAACUAAGUUCCAAGACCACACAUGCCCCCUUUGGUCCCAUGCUUCUGAGUCCAUUUCUCUGUCUUCCAAAGCAACCACUCUGGGAAAGGUUUCUUGAAGCCUACAGCUCCAUUUUGAUUCAUUGCCAUGGGAAUGGCAAUAUCUCCCAUGACUGACUUGAGAUUCAUGCUUCACCCCAGGGAACGCAUAUGGGUUCUGGCAUAAUGUCGGUAUGUUGUAACAAGUACAUGUUGAUUUGUUUGGAAGGCAUUAACCAUAGCUCCCGGUUUGCACAUAGUAGGAAGUGACAACUAACAAGGCUUCCUGAUUUGUAUCUCUGUUUGCACAAAGGGUGGCGCAAUGGCACUGUGUGCAACUUCACAUAUCUUCAUUUAUUAAGUGAGGAUUUGUCCUGACUAAUACUUAAAAGAGGCUUAUAAUGAUAUGUACUAGGCAGAGAAAGGGUGGCGUGGGGUUGAGAAACAAAGAGAAAGGAAAAUGGAAAUCAGUGGUUUACAAUGACUAGUGAAGACUCAAGCGGCAUUGAAGAUACUCCAUCAGAGACCUCAGUGGUGCUGCAAUAGUCUCCCUUAAUGCUGCACUGAUUGUUAAAUUAUUAAUUUAUUCUUUGUCUUUGAAAUACUCUGUGGACAUAAGCCCAUAAAGAUUGAAACAAUCUUCUUCCCAGGCAGUGAGAGAUACACCUCUGGGGAUGCACAGAAUUAUCUUUAAAUGACUAAUUCACACAUAAGCAUGAACUCAAAGGGGACUUGUGUGAAAACAAGUCCUCUUUGAUUAUCAGAGUGAAUAUGGAUUCCCCCCUGUGCAGCACAUUGAAAAGCUCUAAGGCAAGGAUAAAACAGUAUUUAUAAGCAAAAAUGUUCACACUUUUGAAGCAAGCCAUUUACUUAUUUCACAUCUGCCCUAUACAUUUAAAGCAGUACCGCACCACUUUAAAUAGCCGUAACUUUCCCCUCCUCCCACACAAACAAUCUGGGCAUUUCAUGUUCCAAUACAAAACCAUGUUCAAGGACAUCUGGAGUUUAGGACAACUUCUCUGUGCCUGUCCAUUACAUCAUGAUGGACUGGACUGGACUGGGUGGUGUAGUCACAUUCUGGAUGUCCUAGUGUUCUUGUUUGGGUGAGGACAUUGGGGUUUAAUUGGUACCUUCUUUGUGGCCAAAUGCAGAGGCUGAUGAUGAAUGGUGGCAGCAGAAUGGCCUGGAAUGCUAUAAGGUAUGUCCAUUUCAUUGCUGUACAAGAAAUUAUGGUCACCUCUGCUUGAGAUUAGGAUUGUUGACUACAUUUGUGCUAGCAUUAGCCUUGCCAGAAGAGCUGCCCAGCGUAGCAGAACUAUAGGAUUUCCAUAUUUAGAGUGUGAUACUGGCAAACUGAACUCAUUAAAGGUUUUGCAAGUGUAAGACCUUUCAAACACUUAUAUGUGGUUCCAGAAUUUGCAUGUACUGAUUUUAAACAGCAGCAGCAGAGCCAUUACUAAUCACCUGAGGCUGGCCUUGUGUGCCACUGCAUUAAAUAAUGUAGCAUUGUGCUGAGGCAAGCAGGCCUGGUGAAAGAUUCCGAUCUCAUUUUUUGUUCCACUGCAAGCCUCUCUUUUCUGCUCUCGCAUCACAAAAUGGACACAAUUCUAUUAACCUAAGGCUGUAUACAGAUUAUUAUGUCGGUAGAGCAACAAGAGCACUAGCUCAGCUCCACCAUUGGUAGUUUGAUAACUGCACAAAUGUAAUGGCAUGGGGAAACCUUGCUGCACUGCAGAGGAAUGGCCAGUUCAGUCUGUUUUCCUCAUUAUAGCUACUUCCUCUUAUCCCACACAAACUAAUAGAGUGGUAAAAUUGAAUAGACUGGGUUGUAAACAGCUUUUUUUGUCCAAUCAAUUUCACUCCAAAGGGAAUCUUCUAAAAGAGGGAAAGGGAGAGGGAGAGGGAGAGGGAGAAAAAGAAAGAAAGAAAGAAAGAAAGAAAGAAAGAAAGAAAGAAGAGUUUGGAUUUGAUAUCCUGCUUUAUCACUACCCGAAGGAGUCUCAAAGCGGCUAACAAUCUCCUUUCCCUUCCUCCCCCACAACAAACACUCUGUGAGGUGAGUGGGGCUGAGAGACUUCAGAGAAGUGUGACUAGCCCAAGGUCACCCAGAAGCUGCAUGUGGAGGAGCGGAGACGCGAACCCGGUUCCCCAGAUUACGAGACUACCACUCUUAACCACUACACCACACUGGCUCUCCACACUGG